AGUGAACGCUGGCGGUAGGCCUAACACAUGCAAGUCGAACGGCAGCACAGUAAGAGCUUGCUCUUACGGGUGGCGAGUGGCGGACGGGUGAGGAAUACAUCGGAAUCUACUUUUUCGUGGGGGAUAACGUAGGGAAACUUACGCUAAUACCGCAUACGACCUACGGGUGAAAGCAGGGGAUCUUCGGACCUUGCGCGAUUGAAUGAGCCGAUGUCGGAUUAGCUAGUUGGCGGGGUAAAGGCCCACCAAGGCGACGAUCCGUAGCUGGUCUGAGAGGAUGAUCAGCCACACUGGCACUGAGACACGGUCCAGACUCCUACGGGAGGCAGCAGUGGGGAAUAUUGGACAAUGGGCGCAAGCCUGAUCCAGCCGUACCGCGUGGGUGAAGAAGGCCUUCGGGUUGUAAAGCCCUUUUGUUGGGAAAGAAAAGCAGCAGGUUAAUACCCCGCUGUUCUGACGGUACCCAAAGAAUAAGCACCGGCUAACUUCGUG
rnacentral:rRNA from 1 species